ACCGAGCGGCGGGUAGAAUCCU
rnacentral:siRNA from 1 species